GCCACUCUACUUUGAACCGUCGGUGUUCUCAUUAAACUCAGGCGGAUGCAACUUGCAAGAGUUGACAAUUAUAUUAGUUAUCACUUAGUUAAUAGCAAGUGCCUAUUGCCAAGUUUCUUCUUUCUUUUAGGAAUUAAAGCAUACCAAGCUGUAAAUGCGGGAAUAAUCCGACAGCAAUGGAAAGAACACUCAACUACAGGUGAUAUUUUUUUUCUAAGUUGGCUUAUGAAAACUAUCUUUAAAAAGGAGAAGAAAAUUUUCUCAUUUGUUGGUGUAUGCCAGGUUAUUCUAUAAACAUUUCAAGUUUUACUUCAUAUUACUUGCCCCAACAAAUAUUUAUAUAUCAAUAUCAAUCUUUUGCUAAAUGUUUUUUCACUCACAAGCCAAACACUCAAGAAAACAUCCAAGAAAAUAAAUAGGAUUACUUGAAGGCAGUUCGUGUGUAUUAUCCCAAAAUAUACUCGGUGAGUCGAUUAGAGAAAGGAUUUGAAGCUUAUAAGUUUCAUAUUCUUGCUCUUUUAACUUAUUAGGUUCUAAAUUGAUAAUUCGUACGUAUAUUAAAUAAAUUUCUUAAGACAAAUAUAAAAUUAGAUCAAUGUUACUCGAUUCGGCCGAACCUGUAACUUUAAAGCUAGCUCCGCCCCCGUGAAUGGUUAAGUAUUUGUCUAGAUAUUGCAAUCAGAAGCACGUCCACAGAUUUAAAUUAGAUGGUUUACUUUUUAAGGUUCUUAGCAUUAGAUAGUGUAUUUUAAAUUAUGGGUUCAAUAUGUAAUAUUUGUUAAAAUUUAGUAAUAUUUCCCAAUAUUGGAUUCAAUUGAAUCCAAUAUAAUUAUUAUAAACUUCAUCUCUAAUCGCAAUUAACACGUUUGUCUAUGCACAUUUGAUUUAAUUUGCGGAAUUAUAUUAGUUUUAAACAUGUAAAUAACUUCUACUUGUGUAGUUAUAAUUUUAUAUAUUCUUUCAAGUAUAAAAACUGUGAAUACCUAAUUUUUGUACUGUUUUAACACCUCCUAAAGUCAUUAGUGUUUUGUUACUUUAAUUAUUUUUUCCAAUUUUUGUGUCUUUGAUUGCAUAUUUCCUAUCAUAAAAAUAUCAAAAAAUAGUUCUUUCUUUAUUUGUGCAUUUUAGGAAUUGACUAACUAUUCAAUUGAUAAAUUAAUCUAGUUAAUUGAUCAUUUGAAUAAGUUACUUAAUUAAUUUAUUUGUUUGUAUAAAUUUAGUUUAAUAAGUAGGAUUAAGAAAGAAAUUGGGCCAAAUUUGAAAGAGAAAGUGGCCAAAAGUGCAAGAUAAGGGGCUGCCCUUGAAAGGGUCUGAAACGACGUAGUUUUGCCUCAAAACUACGUUGUUUCAUUAAGUGACCCAAGAUCAAAUCUCACCCAUUGAUCACCCCUUGAUCUAAUGGUCCAUAUUUAAUCUCUCAAGAGGUAUUUAAAGCCUCAAAAAACUGAAAAAUUCCCUCAUUUCCCCCCAUAACUCUUUCUCUCUUCUCUCUCUUUCUUCUCUCCGCCGCCGCCGCCGGAAAUCACCCAUCGGUGGCGGACCACCUCCAGACACCUCCAAAUUAACACCAUGUAUUCUCCACAACCUCCUCUUCCCAUAUCUCCAAACCAAUUCCUUCAAAACCCCCUCAAACUCCUUGAAUUUUAGAUCUAGGAAACUUUAGCCACCACUUUUUGGCUCAAAUUCAUGAAGCUCCGGCCAACAUCACCCUACAACACAUGCAUGAAUGGAUAGAGCUCCACGAGACCUAUCUUUUCCUACCCAUUUCACCCUCUAAAACCCCGUCGCCGCCGGCCCGCUGCCCAUUACCCGCCGCGGCUCCACUGCCUCACCACCGCCAAAAUGCCCCAAAACCCCAUCUUAGCUAUUUUUCGACUCAAAGACACUCAUUUUUUUUUGGCGAGAUGCUGAAACUCAUUUCGUUCUAGCAUCUACCCGAAAGAAACGUGCAUUUCGGAGUCAGGCAGUCGCCUUUUAGCAUCUCCGGCGUCUUCUCGUGGCUCGAACAGCUUCAAGCAUACUCGUUAGGUAUAAUCGUCAUCUCUUUAAUUAAUUUCUGAUUUUUUAUAUUAAUAGAUUAGUUUCUGAUUUUUGAUUUUUCUGUUUUGGUUGUUUCUUGUUAAUUAGAGUUUCAAGUUAGAUUUAUUUAAUUAGUUAUCUCUAUUUAGUUUAGUGAUUUGUUAGAUUGUUAUUGAUCUAAACAUGAUCUUUAGUGUAUUAGCUAAAUCAUUCACUUAGUUUGUCGAUUAUUUAGUUGUCUGAUUGUUAACGAUGCUCGUUCUGGUUUGAGCAUUUAGUUUGUGAAUUUAGUUAUUUGUUUAGUAAUUAGUUUGUAAAAAUCGAAUUCAUUCCAAUCAAGUUGGUUUGAAUACUUAGUUCAAUUAUGUUUUUAGUCUCGUUUAUGCUUUGUCAGUUCAUAGUUGUUCAUUUUUUAUUUUGUGUUGAGCAAGUAGUUUGUUCUUGAUGGUUAAAAUCUGAAGUUUAUGCUAUUUUAUCAUAAAAUAGGGUAAUAGUAGCCUACUUUUACUAGUAGGGUGGCUGAAAUGACAUUUGUUUUCUCCUUGCUUCUGACACGACAGAUUUUCAGGCUGUCCUUUCAAUUUUGGGGACAGAUCUUGAACAGUGUUUAGCACACAAAGUCAGUUUUUGGACAGAUUUUUGGUGAACUAAAAUCUGGCCCAAAAAGGGGACUUAAUUUACCUAUUUAAGGGGCUGCUAUUUCUUCACUUCAAAGACUCUAUCUUACACUUGCAGAGAUCUUGAGAGUUGCUUGAACACACAUAUGGUUGAACAAAAAAUCACCAGAUGAAUAUUUUAGUAAGCUAAAAAAUUUUGUUUUGUGAGUGAAUCUUAGAGUGCAAACUUUUAGAAAAGUAGAAGUCUUCUUUAGAGUUAGUUCUAGGUUUCUUCUCUAAAGUUUUCGGGCUGUUUAAACACGAUUUGCUGCUGGAUUUCUGUUGAUUUUGUUGUUGUUCUCUGUUGUUUUCUAUUGCUGAGCUUCAAUUCAUCCCCUGUUGUAUUUAUUUUCAGCUCUUCAGGUAACCUUCUAAAUAUUUGUAAUGCAGGCUCUUUUUCUUUAAUAACAGAUGAUGAAAAGUUGAACAUAUUUAGAUUAUAUGUGCAUCUUCAAUAUGGACGGAUGUCAAAGUGUAACCUUGAAAUCAAAUCUCGUGGUUUAAGUAUUAAAUCUAUGACUUUGUUUAAUUCUUUUUUUUUUUAUUUAGCUUAAUAGCUUUCCCAAUGUUAGUUUUCAAGUAGUGUUUCUUGAGUAAUGGUAGUAUUUCACUUAAAAAUAUAAAAGUUAUAUAAAGACCUUGUAGUAGGCUAAUAAACAAAGAAUUUUGUUUGGUUUAAGUUUUUGCCGUUCUUUUCACCGUAAAGUUUUAGAAGAUUGCAUAAAGGUCUAUUUCUUAUUACUUUACUGUUUUAGUCGUAAGGUUUCUGUUGUGGUUAGUUUUUCGUUAUCUGAAUGCUUGUUGUUCCUAAUUUUCAUAUUUCUUUACUUAAUCACUUUUUAAAUGUUGUUCUUGAUUUUACUAUUUUUUUCUAAUUUCUUUUAGUUUCGUUUAAAGAAAAACAAAAAUUAUCUCAUAAGUUAUGUGACAACAAUGUAUGAUGCAUAAUGGGCUUUUGGUUAGUUGUUAAGCUAUUGAGCCACAGUGUUAAUUAAAAUUAAUAUGAUUGGGCAAAUGGGUUAACCUGCUAGUCUAUUCUUGUUUUCAAAACUGGCCCAUUUUUCCUUAACAACAAAGCUGCCCAUUUUCUUUAUAUAGCUAAUUGGGCCAAAUAGAUUCAUUUUAGAUGGCCCAUUUUGUAUACAAAAAUUGCAGCAGUCCAAUACCAAUAAAAUUCAAGAGUUUGCC
rnacentral:lncRNA from 1 species